rnacentral:rRNA from 1 species
AGUGAACGCUGGCGGUAGGCCUAACACAUGCAAGUCGAACGGCAGCACAGUAAGAGCUUGUUCUUACGGGUGGCGAGUGGCGGACGGGUGAGGAAUACGUCGGACUCUACUUUUUCGUGGGGGAUAACGUAGGGAAACUUACGAUAAUACCGCAUACGACCUACGGGUGAAAGCAGGGGAUCUUCGGACCUUGCGCGAUUGAAUGAGCCGAUGUCGGAUUAGCUAGUUGGCGGGGUAAAGGCCCACCAAGGCGACGAUCCGUAGCUGGUCUGAGAGGAUGAUCAGCCACACUGGAACUGAGACACGGUCCAGACUCCUACGGGAGGCAGCAGUGGGGAAUAUUGGACAAUGGGCGCAAGCCUGAUCCAGCCAUACCGCGUGGGUGAAGAAGGCCUUCGGGUUGUAAAGCCCUUUUGUUGGGAAAGAAAAGCAGCAGGUUAAUACCCCGCUGUUCUGACGGUACCCAAAGAAUAAGCACCGGCUAACUUCGUG